GACGAACGCUGGCGGCGUGCUUAACACAUGCAAGUCGAACGGUGAAGGGACCAGCUUGCUGGUUCUGGAUGAGUGGCGAACGGGUGAGUAACACGUGAGUAACCUGCCCCCUUCUUCUGGAUAACCGCAUGAAAGUGUGGCUAAUACGGGAUAUUCUGGGUCUGUCGCAUGGCGGGCCCGGGAAAGAUAUUGCUUCGGUGGGGGAUGGGCUCGCGGCCUAUCAGCUUGUUGGUGGGGUGAUGGCCUACCAAGGCGGUGACGGGUAGCCGGCCUGAGAGGGUGGAAGGUCACAGUGGGACUGAGACACGGCCCAGACUCCUACGGGAGGCAGCAGUGGGGAAUAUUGCCCAAUGGGCGCAAGCCUGAUGCAGCGGCGCCGCGUGAGGGAUGGAGGCCUUCGGGUUGUAAACCUCUUUCGCCAGUGAAGCAGGCCUGCUCCUUGUGGGUGGGUUGACGGUAGCUGGAUAAGAAGCGCCGGCUAACUACGUG
rnacentral:rRNA from 1 species